AGUCGAGCGGCAGCGGAGAGUAGCUUGCUACUUUGCCGGCGAGCGGCGGACGGGUGAGUAAUGUCUGGGAAACUGCCUGAUGGAGGGGGAUAACUACUGGAAACGGUAGCUAAUACCGCAUGACCUCGAAAGAGCAAAGUGGGGGAUCUUCGGACCUCACGCCAUCGGAUGUGCCCAGAUGGGAUUAGCUAGUAGGUGAGGUAAUGGCUCACCUAGGCGACGAUCCCUAGCUGGUCUGAGAGGAUGACCAGCCACACUGGAACUGAGACACGGUCCAGACUCCUACGGGAGGCAGCAGUGGGGAAUAUUGCACAAUGGGCGCAAGCCUGAUGCAGCCAUGCCGCGUGUGUGAAGAAGGCCUUAGGGUUGUAAAGCACUUUCAGCGAGGAGGAAGGCAUCACACUUAAUACGUGUGGUGAUUGACGUUACUCGCAGAAGAAGCACCGGCUAACUCCGUGCCAGCAGCCGCGGUAAUACGGAGGGUGCAAGCGUUAAUCGGAAUUACUGGGCGUAAAGCGCACGCAGGCGGUUUGUUAAGUCAGAUGUGAAAUCCCCGCGCUUAACGUGGGAACUGCAUUUGAAACUGGCAAGCUAGAGUCUUGUAGAGGGGGGUAGAAUUCCAGGUGUAGCGGUGAAAUGCGUAGAGAUCUGGAGGAAUACC
rnacentral:rRNA from 1 species